rnacentral:rRNA from 1 species
GAUGAACGCUGGCGGCGUGCCUAAUACAUGCAAGUCGAGCGGCAGCACGGUCUUCGGACUGGUGACGAGCGGCGGACGGCUGAGUAACGCGUAGGAACAUGCCCCAAAGUGAGGAAUAACUGCCCGAAAGGGUGGCUAAUGCCGCAUGUGGUCUUCGGACUAAAGCUUUAUGCGCUUUGGGAGUGGCCUGCGUCUGAUUAGCUUGUUGGUGAGGUAAUGGCUCACCAAGGCGACGAUCGGUAGCUGGUCUGAGAGGAUGAUCAGCCAGACUGGAACUGAGAACGGUCCAGACUCCUACGGGAGGCAGCAGUAGGGAAUUUUCCACAAUGGGCGAGAGCCUGAUGGAGCAACGCCGCGUGCAGGAUGAAUGCCUUCGGGUUGUAAACUGCUUUUAUGUGCGAAGAAUUUGACUGUAACACAUGAAUAAGGAUCGGCUAACUACGUGCCAGCAGCCGCGGUAA